GACGCGGGGGGCCUCUUCUCCUCGCGCUCCUCCGCCUACCUCGGCCUCCAAGGUCCUUCCGCCCUCACCCUCUCUGAUUCCCCGUGUCUCUGUGGCCCUGCUGAUCUGGAGCUCACCCCUAAUCUCGUCCAUGUAUGUUUUGAGAAAAAUCUGUACAGAUGAUUUUCAAAUUUCCAAUCUGAAUGAUCAAAAGACAUGGAUUGAAGUACAAGUUUUAUACUAGAAGAACAUGUUCAAACUCCACUUUUUUGUGAAUAUUAGUGCAUUCUAUUGGAUUCCUGUUAUGUUAAUUACAGUUGCCAUCUUCAAAUCAGAAAUUAUAAUCUUCUCAUCUUCCAUAUCACCAGCUUUGAGAGAUAUUCAGAGCAAUGAUCUACUACUUUACAGCAAAACAGGGUGCCUAUCAAAAAGAUACUCCAAAGACUUCGGGGAAGCUCUUCGAGUUUUCUCCCCCAGUAAAACAGGGCGCCUAUCGAAAGUUCGAAGAUUGUGUCUGGGUAUGGGAUUUCCACUAAUCUCAUGUCUUGAAGGCCCAAUACAGUUUAUCAUCAGAAAUAAAAGAGAACUAUACAAGCAAAGUACUUUACAGAUGCCUUUUUGUUCACUAUAUAAAACAAUGACCAGGUACACAUAGUUAAUAUUCAUGUAAAAGAACACCAGAUUCACAUGAAAAACUUGAAUCUUACUGACCAUCGUAUGUUUCAUCAGGUUUCCAUUUAGAUAUUGCAUAAAUUCCUCUCCCUUUCCAUCCUUGUAGCAGCCAACCACGAUCUUCAACAGCAAAGAAUUCCUCAUGCCAAAACGUGUUCUUCAUGUAUACUAUUAUCCUUAAGACGGCUGGAUCGACAGGAAGCUGCUGGAACCCGGCCUUGACGCACCUUGCGUGCCACUGUCGGUAACUUUCUGGUCUCUCUGUUCUUUCUGCACCCUCACAUGCUAUGAUGUUAAGUGCAUCCUUACCAAAUAUCAUCCUCUCAAUCAUCUUUCUUGCUUUAUUAUCCCGUGGAACAACAUUUGCAUCAAGCAUGUCAAACAUUGAAGAGUAAUGGAAUAUAACCUCUUUGAAACGUUUUACAAAGAAGGGAGAACUGCGUAACCCAUUCACAGUGCCUGAAAUGAAAAUCUUUGGGUUCAUCAUCCUCAUAAUUUUGAGCACCUUGUCCCUUGCACUAUUAAUGGCUUCGGUUUCAUGACCGAGAUUCUUCAUCCGGAACAUGCAGUUGAUUAUCAGAACUUCAUCCUCGUCAAUGUUAAGAUCCUCAAUUUUAAUGGUCUCCCAUCUUGAAGCGGCAAUGCCCUGAUACUGAAAAGGUACCUUGAAAAGGUUUGCAUAAUCAGCCAACCGCUUCCCUGUCUCCUCGAUCAUUUCGCAGGGGCGGAAACCUGGCUGGGGAACAUCUAUACCUGUGAUCCGAAGCUUAGGGGCUCCCUCUUCUUGCUGUGCAAACUUCUGAAUCAUUAAUGGCCACUGAAAGCCGAAGCCGAUGCCAAAGUCAAUGAUGUGCACCCUUGGUUUCCCUUGUGAGACAUCAAGAAUAGCUUGGCUGGCAAAGUAGUAUGACGUCCUGUCAAAAGGGCAGGAUGCAACAAAAAGGUUGUGAGCAUCUAACCAAUCUGUUGUACUUGUUUGCCUCUCCAUUAGGUUGCGAUAAACCUGACCCCCGGUCCCAGCCAAGCGUGCCUCGAGACCAUCCGCCAAGUAAAAUGCCAGUCUCUGAGAACAAUCACCAUCUGCUGAGGAAUGUUGUCUUAUCUUCUUUAGGAGUUUACUGGCCAACAGAUGGUUGUCUUCUGCCACAGCUUGUGAACAAUUGAUGAGGAGAGUCUUGAGAUCAACCAACUCUGUCCUAGGUUGCUUCCUCUGCCAUAGCUUCUGACGUCCUUCGCUCCGGCCUUUUAGUGAGUUCUUGUUUCCUUCCUCUGCCAACCCUCUUCGCAGUCUUGUUGUUUUUUUGAAACUCUCCAGACCAUAGCAUAGCAGAACUUGGUCGAAAUUUUCAUUUCGAAUUAUUGCACAACUGGUGAAGGCAAGAUGUUUAUUGCUCCUUCCUUCUAAGAUAUCCCAGUCCCUUUGGUGUGCCACCUCAAAAAUUGUGUUUUCGCUCCUCUCUCCUACUUUUGCCUUUGUAGUCAGUUUGGAAAUAGAAAGUAUGCCAUUCUCUAAAUAUAUCACCAGCUUAUCGAUACUUGGAGCAAACAUCGUUGCCUCCUCGACUUCUCUCUGACAAUGCAAGCCGGGGAAACCAGAUCUAGAAGUUGAUCCAACACUUGUGAACGGACGGCUUUGUAGAGAAAGACUCCUAUUGCAGAUAUAUGGACUCAACGAGGUUGUUAAGGGCUGUAACAUGCUGUAACUGGAAUAGUCAUUACUGAAGCUAGUGCUCCAGAGCCUCUUGUAACGGCUGGUCCUACCCUUAUCGGGAGGGAUGUCUGGUUCGUUGUUGUUAUUCAACAGCGGAAGGUUAGUAGCCAACGGGUGUACCUGCCCAAGAAGGUCACGGAAUGGUUUCUCAGCAGCCUGGAGAGCAGCCUCCCCUUGGCAUAUUUCGACCCUCUCGUCGACGUCUUGCAUCAGCAUCUGGCUUAUAUAGUGAAGAGCAUCAUUUGAUCUACUCCGGCGGUGCUCAGGGCUACCCCCUGCAGCAGUCUGUAGGCUGCUCUUCACCUUGCACAACCCAGGGCUGGUGACUGCAGCAUGCAGAUAUGUGCUUGCUCCAGUGGUUGUUGGCUCGGCCAAGAAUAGUGGACCACUCAGGUCGUAGCUGUCCACGGUGAGUUGCUGCUGGAAAGAGGAAGCUCUGUCGUAUGGUUGGUAGGUUGCUGCGGCGGUGUCCAGAUCGUCAAGGUAAGAUUCAACCGACAUUCUGGAAAAUCUCUUGUUCCUAUUUCCACUUCAAAUCCUGGCAAAACUGAACAAGACGCAUUUGAUCGUCAAGGUAAGAUUCUUCUUUCUAGCACAGCAAAUGAAUCAGCUUGUUGCCUGCAAAAAAAGAAAAAGGGAAAUUGAAGCUUAUUUAUGUGAGAUAAAUUUUGGUUCACAUUGCUCAUGUGCUACAAUUUGGAAUGACAAAACGUAAUUCUGCUCGGCGAGCACUUCUUUUUUUGCCUCAUCUUCAGCCUAUGAUUGUUUUGGCAUGUGCCAUACUGAUGAAAAUUGAAUUUCCAAAGGGGGCUUGCAGAAACGAGCAUUACUAUUUUACUGGGUUAAACCUCAAAUGUUUAGCAUCGAUAACGGAAAAAGGACUCACCUCUGGUACUUAUUAAGGUGAUCUUGAAAUUACGACGCGCCUAAUAGCAUUGUUCCUUUUUUAUGUGCAGGUGGCUCCUCAUCUGAUCUGAGCAGGGAAGCAUACACCUUGGUUGUUAUAUUAAGUAGCAGCACGAUCAGAUCAGAAUCUUUGAGGAGGGAGAGGACGGUUAUCUGUGGACUGUGGUGUUGAUGUAAACUACGUAAGUCUUUUGUUCCCAACAAUAGCCAUGGUGAUUGUGACAGAGGAUGCUCCAGAUUGCAACAGUCACCCUCUCGAUUAAUCCUAGGCCUGGCUACGCGCCAGACAUGUAAGAAAAAACUGUCAUAUCUGACAGUCAUUCUAAUUUUAUGGAUAAAACAGAGCACGUCCUAACGUGACCGACGUGGUCGAACGAACAAGCGAGGAAAACUAUUAUUUCCUGUGAGUCUGCAUGCGUACGUCUCCAAAUUUGCAUACGCGCAAACUCUUUCUAAUCCCAAGAUCGACAGCAAGAUACAGCUCCUCCUUCUCCCCUGUAUAUAGAUUAAUUUUGCUUCAUUGAAUACAUAGCCUUCAAUUUGAUUCUUUCUCUAUUCUGGAUUCUUUAUUCAUAUGUAGAUUUCAUUUUGCUUGAUUCAAUACAUAGCCUUGCAUUUCUCUUUUUU
rnacentral:lncRNA from 1 species